rnacentral:lncRNA from 1 species
AGUCGGCUACGGUGAAGCUGUCAAAACCAGUGGCUCUGUGGACUCAGCAGGAUGUCUGCAAGUGGUUGAAGAAACAUUGUCCGAAUCAGUAUCAGAUCUACAGCGAGUCGUUCAAACAGCAUGACAUAACUGGUAAAGUAUGCAGUCUCCAAAAGGCUUCACUCCGUCUCCCUCACCCCAUUUCCAUGGCCUUUCCCAGACGCGUAAAAUGAAAAAGCAUCUCCCUGCUGAAGUUUUCUGGCGUGGCUUUACUUUAAGGGGGGUGGUAAAUUCCAGAUCCUUGCAAGCCGUUGCUAUUCAACAAGCAUAAGUGGUGGUUACGGAGAACCCUGGAUUGUGAGUGUCCCCUAUAAAAAUAUGCUGUAAUCAGGGUAAGGGGUUGGAGGAGUCUAGAGAAAAUAAGAGUGUAGCAGUCGUAGAGAAAAGAAAGGGAGGAACUCUUUCAAAUUAACUUGACUGCAGGAUCCGUAGGUAGAUGUUUUACGUAGAAAGGAUUUCUAAAUAAGAAAAUUCUGGAGUGAAUGUAAUAAUACUGACAGCCCCUGAGAUGAAUACCUUCAAAGCAUGAAUUAAGACUCCAUUUAGAUCAAGGGGCUUUGAGUAUUAUAUGUGGAAGUCGAGAAGCAUUGAAAGCAGGCAGUGUGACAGUAACGCAAACUGUAAAAGCCCUUAGGGUUGUGUCUCUCAAUUGCAGAAUGAGGUGGGCAAGAGGGAGCUGGCAGUCCAAGGUUGGGAGCCCAUCAGAGUGAGGGGACUUUUUCAGAGCUCGCGCGCCCCCCGCCCCGCCCCGAGAUUCUGCCUCUUUAGGGGCACCUUUCCACUCACCCUCCUCUCUUGCAAACCCUGCGGAAAGAAAAUGUUGAAAAUUCCUGAUUCUAGUCUAGAUUCUCCUUUUUUUUUUUUGGCCUUUUUAGAGCCACUCCCGCAGCAUGUGGAGGUUCCAAGGCUAGGGGUCGAAUCAGAGCUGUAGCCACCAGCCUAUAUCACAGCCACAGCAACAUAGGAUCCAAGCUGAGUCUGCAACCUACAGUAUAGCACCUACACCACAGCUCAUGGCAAUGCCAGGUCCUUUAACCCACUGCAAGAGGGCAGGGAUCGAACCUGCAGCCUCAUGGUUACUAGUUGGAUUUGUUUCUGCUGCUCGACAACAGGAACUGCUCUUCCUCUUUUGUAAGUGAAAAUUGACACACUAGUGGGAAAGUGACUUGCUGUCAUAGCUCAGCACGCUCAAUGCCAUGCUCGAUGCCACAGCUGUUCCCAGACUCUCAGACAUCCUGCCCUCUCUCUAUUCACUGCUCUUACUUUGGAAGGGGGCAUGUUAACCAGGACGUUCGGUCUUUUCUGAAGUUCAGUUCUUACCCUGUAGCUUUGAGAUCUGGGGCAGAUCUUACCUCCCUGAAGAGGGACCAAGCAAGUGGUUCUUAAAGUGUGUUCCGUGAAGCCUUUGGGUGCAUUAGAGGCUACCAGAGGGAAUAAGGGUGUGUUUGGGGUUGAGAUGGGUGUAUCUGUUGCACGUACUCAAAUUGUACAGAAAGCCCAAUUUGGAAAAAAAAAGGUUUCUAAUAUUAAAUAAGAUUUAAAAAACACUGAGCUCGGAGCUCCCUGGUGACUCAGAGGGUUAAGGAUCUGGUGUUGUCACUACCGUGGCUUGGGUCACUGCUGUGGCGCAGUUUGAUCCCUGACCCAGGAACUUAUGCCUGCUGCAGGUGUGGCCAAAAGAAAUAAAUAAAAUUUUAAAUAAAAUAAAAAUAAAAUAUGCUGAGCUAGAUGUUCGGAGAUUCCUGAUGACCGAGUUAGUAAUGUUUACGUAUGUAAGAGACAAGCAUGAGUAGCUCAAACUGAGUUAAGAGAGUGAAAUCCUCCUAACUUAGCAUGGAAAUGAUCUUUCGAGGACUUCUUUUCUCCUCCCAACCUGAGGUCCUGGCCCAUUUGAAUGAAAUUCCUGAAAUCCUGAAGGCAGUGUCAGAACCUCACUUAAAUUCCAAAUGUCUAGAUGUUUUUUCUUUUUCCCUCCCUUAAAAGUACAAGAAAUUCCCCUACGUGGUCAGUUACUCUACCCUAAAAGUUAUCCAUCAGUUAGUAGCCAUUUGGCUGAUUAUGGUAGCCUUUGUCAGAUAAUGUCUGCUUAAUUCUCAAUGCCUGUAUGAGAGUAAUGGCAAAGCCUUUUUCAUGAUCUGGCUUUAAAAUAGCAUUUAUCUUUUACUGGGGUGGAAAUUCUGCGAUCCCCUUGAGGGAAGGGUAAGCAUUAAUAAUGGUUUGAAGAGGAUGAACCUUACGCACCUCAGAAAUAAAAAUCUCAAGCUUCAGUGUAUCUGGAGUAAAUGGUACCACUUCCUAAAGUUUUCUGCUAAGUGAUGUGUUUCAAACAGCCGUCAUCUUGCUUUUGGUGCCCACUGGGGCUCCAUGUGCACUCCUGGUACUGCCAAACCACACCCUUCUUGGGAUCUUGGGCAAACUGCUUAACCUAGGCAGGUUGCUUAAACUCACCUUUUCAUCUUCAAAAUGAGAUCAUAAUAGUAAUACCCGUCUCAGAGUCACUGUGAUGAUUAAGGGAAAUAAUAUAAAUAAACCGCUAAGUUAACCAUUUAUUGACACCUGUUCAUGCCAGCCUUGUGCUGUUCUUCAUGUCAAAGCUCACCUGGAGGUAUCUGAAAUCCUCCUGCUACGUAGGGCAGCCUGUUGCCUGGCAAGAAAAGAAGGCAGAGGGUUACUCAGGCCCUUUAAGAAGAGAGGGAAUGAUUUCAGGUGAGCAUUUGGCCCACACCUUCUUGACAUUCACCUUUUCACGGCUCCAAGAACCACCCUGUUCUCCAGCCCCUGCCUCUCCAAGGGUGAAUGUAAACUACCCAUAUGAUUGCAAGUGCCAGGAAGCCAGGAAAUACCUUUGAGGACUUAAGCCAGCCUGCAAUUAUCAGCCCUAGGAUGCUGGAAGCUGCAGGAAUCCUUGUACCCUCGUAGGCUCUGAUGAACUAGCCAGAGAGGAUCAGGAAACAUCAAGGCAUGAUGGCAGAGGAAAACCUCAAUAGCCAGUGCAGACAGUAGAGCGACUUAGAGUGAGGGCAGGGUGGUAGUUACAAGCGGCAGGUCAAAGCCCAGACUUGCAGCUUAGCUGUGUGAUUCUGUCAAGAGUAGAUGAAAAUAGUACCCACCUCAUAGUGUUACCUUGAAAGUAGUUCAUGGUCGUAGUAGGUACGCAGUACGUGUUAGCUGCUACUGUCUUCCUAAGUACUGCUCUACUUUCUAUGAACACAGACCACACAUAAACACUACUGAAUUCACCCCUCUUUAUUAUCCUGAAAAUUGGGAAACAAGCACCUAAGGAUUGGGGGUAGAGGGGAAUCUGGGCUGGUAAGUGUCCUGUAUUUAUCUGCAAGGCUGCAAUAAAGAUGUUCCUGUGUCUCUUAGUUGUCCUUAGAUUCUCCUGAGUACUGCUGUUCCUUUAUUUUUCUUCAAGCAAGGAUCUCCAAUAUCAUGCUCAUCAAGGAAGCAUGUUAUAUUUCUAUAAACAUGAACACAGACCCUUAAUUUAGAGGCACAUGGUACCAUGAUGUUAAAUUUUAAAGGACAUCUAUAUAAU